UAUUCUAUCAAUCUCCUAGUUUCCGGGAAUAACAUCGCUAUAAAUACCGUUUGUUUUGUUGAUAGCUUUGAAACCAAGUUCUCCGUAUCGUUUUGUGUAAGCCUUCAUGGUUUGCCCAGGUACCAGUAAGAGAUGAGAGCGAGAAAUUCUUUAGUGUGCAAGUCACAGAGAGGUUACAGUUUGCCAGUGAUGCCACAAAGUUUGCCAAAUCAAUAGGUUUCCCUGGUGAAACAAGCAAAGUUUUACAAUGAGAUUGAGAGUCAUACCACACCUUCAGUGAAAAGCUUGAUCAAUGAUUUCAUAUGAUUCAGUUAUUUACUAUGCAAACUUGAAAUUAAUAUCGAUUUCUUAAAAGCUUUGGAGUCCCUAUUUUCAUGUUAAGAUGUAAACAUUUUAUCUUUUAUUCAAAGUAUCAGUCGUAGCUAUGAGCUGCAAUUACGCUCACAAAGUCAAAGCAUUUUUUUGUACUGUAAGUUAAUCGUGCUCUGGGACUCAGUACACGGAAAAUGUUCUAUAUCAUCACUUUCCCAUAAGUUAGCUUGAUAAAAAUGAAAGCUCAGUCUCCAAAUGUAGGUUGUC